rnacentral:rRNA from 1 species
AACGCUGGCGGCGCGCUUAACACAUGCAAGUCGAGCGAGAACCAGGACUUCGGUCUUGGAGACAGCGGCGAACGGGUGAGUAACACGUGGGUAAUCUGCCCUCGGUUCUGGGAUAGCCCGGGGAAACUCGGAUUAAUACCGGAUAGCCUCUCUGGCCCUCGGGCCGGUGAGAAAAGGUAGCUUCGGCCUCCGCCUGAGGAUGGGCCCGCGGCGGAUUAGCUUGUUGGCGGGGCAACGGCCCACCAAGGCGACGAUCCGUAGCUGGUCUGAGAGGACGAUCAGCCACACUGGGACUGAGACACGGCCCAGACUCCUACGGGAGGCAGCAGUGGGGAAUCUUGCGCAAUGGGCGAAAGCCUGACGCAGCGACGCCGCGUGAGGGAAGAAGGCCUUCGGGUUGUAAACCUCUUUCAGGUGGGACGAAGCCACUCGGGUGAAUAGCCCAGAGGGUGACGGUACCUCCAGAAGAAGCCCCGGCUAACUACGUGCCAGCAGCCGCCGUAAGAC